GUCCACGCCGUAAACGAUGAUAACUAGCUGUCCGGACACUUGGUGUCUGGGUGGCGCAGCUAACGCAUUAAGUUAUCCGCCUGGGGAGUACGGUCGCAAGAUUAAAACUCAAAGGAAUUGACGGGGGCCUGCACAAGCGGUGGAGCAUGUGGUUUAAUUCGAAGCAACGCGCAGAACCUUACCAGCCUUUGACAUCCCGCGCUAUCCUGAGAGAUCAGGGGUUCCCUUCGUGGACGCGGUGACAGGUGCUGCAUGGCUGUCGU
rnacentral:rRNA from 1 species